GCCGGGGUGGCGAAAUUGGUAGACGCACGUGGCUUAGGACCACGCGGAGCAAUCCUUGGAGGUUCGAGUCCUCUCCCCGGCA
rnacentral:tRNA from 6 species